GUGAAUCAUCAAAUCUUUGAACGCAAAUUGCACUCUCUUGGGAGAGUAGGAUUGUUUGAGGGUAAGAAUAAAAAAAAUAGAGGUAGUAGUUGUUUAGAGGUGAAAGUCGUCGGAAAUUGGGGAAUAUUAAAUUUUUGGGGGUUGGAAGUGGAUUAAAAUUUUAUUUAGGAUUAAAAGAAUGUGUGUAAGAUUUUAGUUAUUAAAAAAGUUUAAGGUAUCGAUAUUUAUUAGACGUGGCCGUUGUAUCGGAUUGACUUGAGAAA
rnacentral:misc_RNA from 1 species